GCUGGGUGUGGUGGCGCGUNCCUGUAAUCCCAGCUACUCAGGAGGCUGAGACAGAAGAAUCGCUUGAACCCAGGAGGUGGAGGUUGCAGUGAGCUGAGAUCACGCCCUGUACUCCAACCUGGGUGACAAAGGGAGACUCUGUCUCAA
rnacentral:SRP_RNA from 1 species